rnacentral:tRNA from 1 species
ACAGUUCAGUGGUAGAGCAUCUGCCUUGCAAACAGAAGAUCCCAGGUUCAAUCCCCAGGUA